UCCAGCAGCCAUAUCACCCUGCAACUCACAACUGGUAACCAACUGAAGCUCAGCAGGUGUGAGCCUGGUCAGUACCUGGAUUGGAGAAUCCUGGGAAAAACUAAGGCUGCUGCUGGAA
rnacentral:rRNA from 1 species